rnacentral:rRNA from 1 species
UACGUAGGGUGCGAGCGUUAAUCGGAAUUACUGGGCGUAAAGCGUGCGCAGGCGGUCCGCAAAGUCUGAUGUGAAAGCCCCGGGCUCAACCUGGGAACUGCAUUGGAAACUAACGGGCUCGAGUGUGGCAGAGGGGGGUGGAAUUCCACGUGUAGCAGUGAAAUGCGUAGAGAUGUGGAGGAACGCCGAUGGCGAAGGCAGCCCCCUGGGCUAACACUGACGCUCAGGCACGAAAGCGUGGGGAGCAAACAGG